CUCAAAUCUGCUAAAAUAAAAAUACUACUUUCAAUAAGAACUAAAUUCAGAAAGCUGUUUAAGCCCUUGCUUAGCUCUGGCACAUGCUUACCAUUUGUUGCACGGGUACUUAAUUCACUCUCACUUAAUGUGUCAUUCUGGAAUAGAGACAUUUCUCAGAUUCGAAGUUGAACUACUGCGAAGUUUAGCCUCUGAGGUGAAUGUUUUGGAAGGUUAAUAGCCUGUGGAAAUAGAGGAGCCCUAUGUUAUGUUUAGUACUCACUUUGGCUGAAAGAUGAAAUAGACUCUCUUCACCCAGCCGCUAAAAUGCAGCCACCUGUGGGGAGUAAUGUGCCAGCUCUUUAGUGCAACAGUGCAAAACCAUUUAAGAGAGAAGUGAAGCGUUAUGCCUCAGUCCAAAGGGAGUGUUUGCCAUUGUUGUUACUGAACAGCACGACAUUUUUUUUCUGGGUGGAAGGCACUGUCUGUGUAAUGCUGUAUUUCAAAAGGAUUUGGGUUUGGAUACACAGGAAAUGGGAUCGUGUCAUCAGUUAAUCAAUAACUCAGCGUGAUGGACUGGUCUCCCUACUUAGCACUGGAAGAAACCAGCAGAGGCAAGAACACGGACACAGUGAAUGUUACUUAAUGACAAUAAUCUUCAUGGAUCAAAACUGGAAGAAAAUGCAGAAUUAUACCCUGCCAUUGAAACUGUCUUGCUUGCAACUGCCAAAAUACAUACAGAGGGUUAUCUCAAAUGCCUCAGUUAAAAGGGCAGAGCAUAACAAGAGAGGCAGAUAUGAAAGGUCCAAGAAGAGACUGGAACAAGGAACCUACAUUGAAAAUGGAAACAGUACAUAAAAUCUAACACAUGAUAAUAUGCUCAUUGUGCCUACAAUGCUGCUGAACUGAAAAGUGAAAAUGAACUUUAAAAGAUGCUCAGUGCAAUUUAACUUGGAAACAAUAAGCCUAAUAAUAACUAUUGUGAAGGACUCAGACAGAAAGGGCAUGAGCUCUUUGGAAACUGAAGAUGAAACAAGUGCUUUUUGCUGCUCUCUGGACAUCUAAAAGCAGGUGAAUAUCCACUAAGACACUUUGAUUGUGAGCUCUGUUAAGAAAAUAGUAUGCUGUUCAGACAGCCUUUCCAUUAAAGACACAAAUAACUUCUUCAUUAUAUACCCAGUUGUUUUAUUUCACAGCUAUCUCAUGCCUGAAUUCUUGUACAUACAUACAACAUACAUCUUACCCAAAGAAAAUCAGAUCUUAACACCGGUGAUCAAUGGUGUUUCAUUGGAAUCUUAAAUAAUAGGUAUCCUUAACAUCCUCAAAAUAUCAUUCCCCAUUAGCAGCAGGAAGUAGUGGUUCUGGAGUUAGAUCUGUCUAAGAUCUAAAGAUCUGUCCCAGAGACAUUUUCAGACAGGUAGCGAAAAAUUUGUUUUUUUAAAUUCUUUCCAAGAAGUUGCAGAAAGUCAAGUACCAUCAAGAUGAUGGUACUUGAAAGUUCACUGCAAGUUUG
rnacentral:lncRNA from 1 species